GCGAGGCUCUGGCCAGGGGACGUGACUUGCUCAUUGGCUGGCAUUUCCUUCCUUGUGGAAUUCAUUCCCAGGAACCCUAGCACGUCUUGCUGGGAACUUUCAGGUUGGGUUAGUUGCUUUGAGAAUUCAUGGCUUUUACAUAUUUGCAUAGAGGCUAGAGAAGGGCAUGUAUUUUCACAGACCCUGGGAUUCUGCUGGAUUUGGAGAGACAGUCCUGGUAGGUGUGUGAUUUACCUGCCCAAGUCCAAUUACAGAUUUCCCUUUGGUGAAAUGUUUUUUCUGUUUAUACCGUUGCUGAACGAACGGAACCUUACACUGUAUGAAGCUGUUUUCAUGCAUUAUUACACUUGCGUCAGGCAGCCAGGCCUGGGAAACAGAAGCUUGAUUUCUGAAGACAUCCCCGGGCAAACUCCACUUUUCCGUCCUCUGUCUUCACCUACUCUGACCUUCCUCGGUUCCAGAACUGAAGAGUGACAGGCCCAGAAGAAUUCAGCCCCACCGCGAUCAGCAGGCACCCCCCACACCCAUNCUUUAUACUGGAAGAUGAUUGGAUAGCUGUAGGGAAGCAGCACUAGAGGCUGCCCCCACACCCCUCCCCCCACCCCCUUCUCCAUUUGUUGUGAGCUGUCCCUGAGAUAAAGGUAUAACUUGGAGCUCCCCUCCCCCUAAUCCUUGAGAAUUACCUAAACUUUGGAUGGGAUUCCCUAUGUGGUCGCCAGAGGGGCGUUAAACAUAGAGUCCAGUCCUGUCCCUUCCCAGUCUGCCUGAGAGCGUGUCUGCCGAGCUCCUGGCAAGCAACCCCCUCUCUCCAACCUCCAGCCACACUGGCUGUCCCUCAAAGGGGACAAGCUCCCAUCGUCGUCCUCCCUUUGCCCGAAGCUUCCCCAGCAUCCCUGUAGGGCUCUAUUCAUCCUGUAGGUUUUAGCUUAAAAUCACCUCCUUGACUGUUUAGUCCCCAUCACAACUGCACCUGGCUCAUUCUGGCACUUGUAACUCUUGCUAUGUGCCAUUGCUUGAAGUCACCUAUCAGGAUUUUUCUUCUGGGUGCCACCUAGAGGAUUGCUUUGUCAAACGGAGACAGGUUUGUGAUGGGUAAUUUUAUGUGUCAAUUGGACUGAGCUGCAGAAGCUCAGAGAGCUGGGUGUGUCCAAAGAGAUUAGGAUUUGAAUUGGGAGAAUGAAUAAAGAAGAUCAACCUCCCUGAGGCA
rnacentral:lncRNA from 1 species